GAAGAAUGCUAGAAUAUACAAUUACAAAAUCAUUGUCAUUCGAAUAUAAGCCAAGCACUCAGGCACUGAGUGCAUGUGUAAGAUGAGUCUGUCUCAAAUGUCCUUGUGUCCAUUUGUGCUGAUGAUAUGGAAUCUGAGCAGCGUUUUAGAGUCUGUGAGCACUAAUCAAUAAGAAUGUGUUUAGAAAGUUAAAUAUUAAUGUUUAGAGGAACUACACUAUACUAGGAACUUUGUUAUCUUGUAUCAAAGAAUGGGGCAGACUAAGGAGAAAGCUACUUUCUUUAAUUUAUGUUAUCCCACAGCUCAUGUCAGCAUUAUCAUUAUGCAAUUAUAUAACCUCAUUAUAAUUGCAUUACUAUAAUUAUCAUUGUGCUACUGAGAAGCCCAAAGAAUAUUUGUUUAUUAGUACAACUGACUGUGCUGUCCCAACAGAUACUAACAUUGCAGUCUAGUUUUACAUCAUAAUGUCUGUUUGAUAAGAGCCAUUUAACUAGACUGUCAUUGUUUAUCAGGAAAAUUACUUGCACAACUUUCACAACCCUGCUUCUUUAAAUAUGACUGGAGCCUAAAAACUAUUUUUUGUUCAAAUAUGGGCCUUACCUAAUAUGGUAUGUUCAGAGGGCAAAUGUUAAUGUUUUCUUGUUUUUUCAGACACUAUAAUGGACAUAAAGCAGCCUGGCCCAAGAGCAUGAUCAACAUGGGCGAUUCCUCCAGUGCUGAUGCAGAGAAGAGCUCUGUUCUGCAGAUGCAUAGCCUGAGAGAGUUUGAACAGGUAGGUGCUUUCUUUCGUUUCCCUCAAAACUAGCGUUUGCAUGCAACUGCAAGCCUGUGAAAGCCAUUUGUCAGGCCUCUGAGUGGUUUUCACUGUGUUGAGAAUGUGGAUCUUUGGCAUUUGCCUGCAGAUACGAUGAUCAAGUAAACUAGUUGGAGGGCUUACUUAAAACACAGAUGUAAAUUUUAUACUUUGUUUUUU
rnacentral:lncRNA from 12 species